UACGUAGGUGGCGAGCGUUGUCCGGAAUUACUGGGUGUAAAGGGCGUGUAGGCGGGAUUGCAAGUCAGAUGUGAAAUUCCAGGGCUUAACUCUGGAGCUGCAUCUGAAACUGUAAUUCUUGAGUGCUGGAGAGGAUAGUGGAAUUCCUAGUGUAGCGGUGAAAUGCGUAGAUAUUAGGAGGAACACCAGUGGCGAAGGCGGCUAUCUGGACAGUAACUGACGCUGAGGCGCGAAAGCGUGGGGAGCAAACAGG
rnacentral:rRNA from 1 species